GAGAGGACAAACCAGAGUGUCCAGCGGGCUCUGAGACGAUAUGUCAACGAGUCACACGACGACUGGGACAUCCACCUUCCAGCAGUCGUGUAUGGCAUUAACACAACUUCACAGGCCUCCACGAAGUGCACUCCGUUUUUCCUCAUGUUUCACCGACAUCCUCGCUUUCCUGAAGUGAGAUGGAGAUUCAUGGGAGGUUGGAGGUCCAGAGGAAGACAUGGACACCACAGUUGAUAAGAUAAGACUCCUGAAUGAGAAGGUCCUUCAAAACAUUGAACUGGCUCAGGAAAGACAGAAGAAAAAGUCUGUUUGAGUCUGCACAGUCAAUGUUGGAGAUGAUGUCCUCGUCUCAGGAAGCCCCAAAGAUGGGCUUCGUUCAGCGGCCAUGUCCAGUCAGCAUGAGGGUCCCUUCACUGUUACCAGCAUCUCUUCAAAAGGCGUGGCAACAGUGAGAAAAAGUGAUGGGAAGCACCGGAUGCUCAACAUAAAGCGCCUCAGGCCAUAUAGGAGAUUGGAGACUCUUAGUCGUCUGAUAGCGUUUUGGCCUGACCACCCAUAUUGGACUGACAAGCAGGAUGAUCAUCUCUACGCUUCAUGUGGAGAGACAUGGGAGCAGAAGUUGGGUCCUCUUCAGGAUAAACUGGCAAGUGAUAUCUCCAUCUGUUUUCCAUGGCAAAAAGAUUUCAUCAGCUAAAUCCUAAUAUCUUCACUCGUGGCAUGGUGUGGUCUUGCAUUCUAGUUGUCCUAUGUACUGGACACCAGUCGUCCUGCAAAGGAACUUAUUGUCAAAGAUGGCAAUCUCUGUCUUGUUCGCCAGGAAUUCUGGACUUUGGGCCUUCCGCGAUGCAGGGAUUCAUCUGUGUGUUUAUUUAGAUCUUUGUAUUUAAGGAAACUUAAAAGAGUCAUAAUGUCUUAAACAUAGAAUGAUUUCUUUGUCUUGAUCCAUUCUCUUUUAGAAACGCCUGCCUGAGGCUC